rnacentral:rRNA from 1 species
UACGAAGGGGGCGAGCGUUGUUCGGAAUUACUGGGCGUAAAGGGCGCGCAGGCGGCUCUGAAAGUCAGAUGUGAAAGCCCCGGGCUUAACCUGGGAAUUGCAUUUGAUACUCUGGAGCUUGAGUACGGGAGAGGAUAGUGGAAUUCCCAGUGUAGAGGUGAAAUUCGUAGAUAUUGGGAAGAACACCGGUGGCGAAGGCGGCUAUCUGGACCGUAACUGACGCUGAGGAGCGAAAGCGUGGGGAGCGAACAGG